rnacentral:rRNA from 1 species
UACAGAGGGGGCAAGCGUUAUUCGGAAUUAUUGGGCGUAAAGGGCGCGUAGGCGGCCUGGCAAGUGGAAGGUGAAAUCCCUCGGCUUAACCGAGGAACUGCCCUCCAAACUGCUUGGCUUGAGUCCGGGAGAGGUGAGUGGAAUUCCCAGUGUAGCGGUGAAAAUGCGUAGAUUACUGGGAGGAACACCAGUGGCGAAGGCGCUACCUGGACCGUUCUGACGCUGAGGGCGCGAAAAGCGUGGGGUUAG